AACGCACAUUGCGCCCGCCAGUAUUCUGGCGGGCAUGCCUGUUCGAGCGUCAUUUCAACCCUCAAGCUCUGCUUGGUGUUGGGGAUCGGCGUGCCCUGCUCUGCCCUCCGUGGCGGGCGCGGGCCGCCGCCCCCGAAAUGAAUUGGCGGUCUCGUCGCAGCCUUCCUUUGCGUAGUAACAUACCACCUCGCAAGCAGGAGCGCGGCGCGGCCACUGCCGUAAAACGCCCAACUUCUCAAGAGUUGACCUCGAAUCAGGUAGGAAUACCCGCUGAACUUAA
rnacentral:misc_RNA from 1 species